UUUCACGCACUGUGUAGCUGAGUGUCUCAAGAGGACGGGCGGAGCUUCUCGUACACGUCCCCCCUGACUCUGAGCCAGAGGACAGUGUCGGCCGCAGGGGGAGGGGCCGGACGGGGGCUGAUGCUGUGCUGAUUGGCUGAUCCGGCUGACGGAGUGAGAGCGAUCGUCUUUGAGCUUCGGGUGAAGGAUCAGCGGCUCGGCUGCUUUCAUCUCCUUCCCGGUGGUCCAUGUUCUCGUUGUCCUUCCUCCUGACUGCUCUCUUUGUAACUGACAGUCAUCUCCAGUGUCUCAUCUAAGAACAAAGGAUGGCCCGAGGGUGACCUCUGACCCACAGCAGCAGGGCUCAGCUUCAGAUGAUCCAUACCUCCAGGUCACUUCUAUACCUGCAUGUGUGCGCAGAAAUACAUCACCUCCAUCACUAGAUAUGAAUACAUGUGUAUCUAAAGGUGGAGGUGGUGGACGACCUGGAGAGUCACGUCUUUGUGUGUGGAAGUCGCUGGUUGCUUUAUUUAUGUAUCAUAGACUUUAUUGCCCCGUGCAUCCACACUGCUGCUUUUCAUCAAGGACACAUUUGUCCCGUAUUUUCCUCCACGACUUUGUCCCCCUCGUUUGUGGAGAUCUCCCUCCAUGAAUCAGAGGCCAUCCGGCGUCCUCAUAGUCCGCCAAUGACGGCUUGUACAAGCGCUCAUAUUUACUACUGGUGUCGACUCACCAGGUUUAGAUUCUGAUAUCUGAUGUCUUGGGGUUACACACACACACACACACACACACAGCAGUGCCCUGCUUUUGAUUCGUUUGAAUUCGUUUAUCCAUGUUUUUGUAUGUCUGGCAUCAGAAAUGAAGCCCCGCCUCCUGGUCAUCAGCACACAUCGCUGGUCCGCACAUCAAAGCAGCGAGUGGGGGCCUUCGACGAGGCCCCCAACUGGCAACGCAAGACAAACGGGUCCAAACAAAUCGUUUAGAAAUGUAGGGAACUGGUAUGAAUAUCUAUGUAAAUCCACACAGAACGUCCCCGAAUAUCAGCCGUUCAGAGCCGCUCGGACUCGCUGUGUUAGCGUAGCAUUCGCCUCUGGGGCCCGGGGGGGAGGGGAGGGGCUCUCGCCUCGCUCUACAUACACUCUGGUUAAAAACUCCUCCAUGAUCUUAAUGCAAAAAGAAAACAGAUUCAUUUUGUUGCUGCAGCUUCAAUCAAUUUCUCCUCCGGUCCGGAAACAGUUGCUGACGAACCUGAGGGCAGAUUUAAAUUGGUAAUGUUGUUUAGCUGGCAAUCAAUCAUUCGCGAGUAGAAACCAAGGCCAAUCUGCGAGGUUUGAUCUUUCCUGCCCCCCCUCGUCCCCCCUCACCCCCCCCCCCAGCGAGACAUCGCGCAGCAUCAUUCACUGCUGGGCAUAAACAGUGCGAGUCGGGCUUCAGCAGCAGAUUACAUUGGCUCCUGUUUGCUCGGAGCACAGAUGGGAAUGUUUUCAGUAGCGUGUUUGAGGAGCCCCCCCCUCAACCACCCCCCGGUCACAUGAUUCCAGUUGACUAUUUGGGCCUCAUAUGUAAACAUAAGAUGCAUUACUGUAUUUACACACUUUGCGCCGAAGUUAAAGCUGCAGCGCUGCAGGGAUGAUGGAGUCCAACAGGAAGUUAACUGGUUCCAUCCCACAGAAAGCAGAUUGGAUCUGAGAUUACUGAAGAAGAUAAUCUCUGUUAUGAUAUUCAUACGUAUGCUUCAUCAACACAAUUAUCAAUGAUGAACUCCACCACGUCACAUGACCACAGUCACAUGACAUCACGUUAGGCUUUAAGGGAUCUCCACCACGGUCACAUGACCACAGUCACAUGACAUCACGUUAGGCUUUAAGGGAUCUCCACCAUGGUCACAUGACCACGGUCACAUGACAUCACGUUAGGCUUUAAGGGUUCUCCACCACGUCACAUGACCACAGUCACAUGACAUCACCUUAGGCUUUAAGGGAUCUCCACCCCGGUCACAUGACCACAGUCACAUGACAUCACGUUAGGCUUUAAGGGAUCUCCACCACGUCACAUGACCAGGGUCACAUGACAUCACGUUAGGCUUUAAGGGAUCUCCACAACGGUCACAUGACCAGGGUCACAUGACAUCACGUUAGGCUUUAAGGGUUCUCCACCACGUCACAUGACCAGGGUCACAUGACAUCACGUUAGGCUUUAAGGGAUCUCCACCACGGUCACAUGACCAGGGUCACAUGACAUCACGUUAGGCUUUAAGGGAUCUCCACCCCGGUCACAUGACCAGGGUCACAUGACACUACAUCAACGAUUGUAGACUCAUUUCCUGGUUUUAGGAUUUAUUCAACCUUAAAAACUUGUGACGCUGCUCGGAAUGAGGUCACACACAAAGGUUAUUGUUUUUUUAAACGGAUAUAAAUCUAAUCUCCCCAAGAGGACAUUCGGUGCUCCGUGCAAAAACAACAACAAACAGAAUUAAAUCUGCAUUGAUCUCAUCACAGACAAACCUCUGUUCUUUUUCAUGUCUGAUGACUCACAUUGAAGAACGUGACAGUCACCUGCAUCUGAUGAAGGACGCGUUGUGCUCCAUCAGUUCCAGGAGACUUGUGGGCACGGGACGUCUCGUACUAGCCGGGUCCCCCACACGACAAAGUGAAUGGACCGAGGCAGCACGGCACCUUCUUCACUGGACAAAGUGUUGCUCAAUGACACACACACGGGUAAUUUACAUCUCAGUAUAUCGCUCUACUCUACCAUCGACCCCCCCUGCUGAGUCACAGUCACAGGCGAGUAAUUACCCCACUACCGCUAUUCAUCCACCCUCUACUGUUCCUCCACCCAACCCUCCAUUCAUCCAUUCGUCUUCCAUCCAUUAAUCCACCCACCAACCCUCUCUCUGUUCAUCCACCUUUCAUCCAUUCAUUCAUUCUCCAUCCUCUCACUCUCCCUCCACCUCCAUCCAUUCGUCCACCAAAACAUCCCUCAUCCAUCCACCCUCUCUCCAUCCAUCUGCUCUCCAUCCGUUCAUUCACUCUCCACUCAUUCAUCCACCCACUUAUCCUGCAUCCGCAAACUCCAUCUCUUUUCUCUCUGCAGUGACCGUAUUCGUUUCAUUUCGCUUACUGAGUCGCAGACUUUCCCGUCAGAACAGAAACCAGACUGUUCAUCGCUUUUAUCCGUGUGCAUUAGUGUGUGUGUGUGUCCUGUGUGUUCGUUUGUGUGUCUGUGUGUGUGUCUGUGUGUGUGUGUGUGUGUGUGUGUGAUCCUCCAGGCCUUCUUAUCCCCACACAGCUGAAACCUCUGAAGUGGUCAUUUGUGUGUCUGUGUGCGUGCACGGACUGUUCACCUGAGGGAACUGAGAUUCAUUCAGAACAUUUUGUUUAAAGGUGAAGCCUAAAAAUAAACUAAUGUUUCUUUGGGAAGUUCAGCGAGAGACAGCGAGGACUUUGGACAGGAAGUGGACGCGGUCGUAGCGACGUAACCUGUCGGUUUGUGGACGUUUUGCUUGAGUUUGGAGUUUCAUUUUGUAACCAGCAGACAUUUCACCAUUUAUUGUUGGGAACGUUUGAAUCACAUAUGUUCAUCCAAAAGCUUCCACUCAGCUUAUCACUAAGUCCCGCCCCUAGAAUCCCAGCUGGCCAAUCAGGUAGCUUCGUCAUCGACGCUGUGUUCAGGCGGGUUUGGUGGAUUUGGAGUUUGUCGUGGUCCAACCACGUCAUCACAUUGUUCCUUUUAUCAAAUGUAAGCGUGUUAUUAAAUAAAUCCAGAAGAACUUUAUAAAUUAAUAAAUAAAUUAUUUUAUUUCCUUCAAAUAAUUCAUUUCUAACAACAUUUAGAAAGACAUUAGUAGUUCUAAUCAUGUAUUAUUACAGCUGAGGGUUUGUGGGAGUAGAAACGACAUCACUAAUAUCUAUUUUAUGUUGAUGUGAAAACGUCAAGCAACAAGAUUUAUUCAAAUUUCAGAAAUGACAUGAUUGCAUUUGAACCCAUCAUGAUAACGAUGUCAUUUCCCCGUCCCCCUGAAACCCAUUGUUACAGAUCGGAGCGUGUCUCAAUGUGGCCUCCGUACAUUCGUACCCAUUGCACGCUGAGUUAGCGCUCGGUCUUAGCGUUAGCGCUCCUGUGCUACGCCAGCGCCUGAAGGUGCAGGUCUGCCUGGAUUGAGGUGAUUUGUCGGUUUACUGUAAAUGCAAACUUGUGAUUUAGUUUAUCCAAGAUGAGAUGAUGAUUACUCUGUGUGUGCAGUCGGUGACAGUGUGGUCUCCAUGGUGACGGAGCUCUGACGGCUCCAGAAGAUAGUUUUUGUUCAGGAUUCCGGUGUGUGAAAGCGGGCGAGCAGGUGGGAGCAGCACACGUGUACAGUUAGUGGAGAUAAAGCGCGUAGAUGUAUCCGGUGCAGCUAAUUGAUUCCUUAUCAGGAUUUUAUCAGAUCGCUAUUUGACACUUUUUUUCAUCUCCCAUCUCGAGGCUCAGACGGCGUUCGGCACCUAAUAUUCAGAACGCUUCAUACUCAUUGCAGACUUUUGUCAGCCUCAGAGGAUGAGAAAGUGAUUCCAGACCAGAGCAGAAUGUAGACCGACUUCCUCGGUCCUGACCUUCUGUCAACCACAUAACCCCAUAACAGGCAAAUAAAGCUAUGUAGUACAACGGGAAGAAGAUACUUUGUGAAGAAUUCCUUUUGGCACCUUUAUGGUCUGUUUGACUCUAAAUGGAUCAUCAGUCACUAAAUGAACAUCAUGUUGUGCUGAAGAAGACUUGAAACUAGAGACUGAGACUAUAAACUCAUGUUUACAAUGUUUACUGAGGGAAUAAAUCAAGAGAGAAGUAGAGUCAUUUCCUCAUAGACGUCUAUGGGAGCAGAGGAGUCGCCCCCUGCUGGUCACUACAGAGAAGUAGAGUCAUUUCCUCAUA
ensembl:lncRNA